AUUGAACGCUGGCGGCAUGCUUUACACAUGCAAGUCGAACGGCAGCGCGGGCUUCGGCCUGGCGGCGAGUGGCGAACGGGUGAGUAAUACAUCGGAACGUGCCCAGUAGUGGGGGAUAGCUCGGCGAAAGCCGGAUUAAUACCGCAUACGACCUGAGGGUGAAAGCGGGGGAUCUUCGGACCUCGCGCUAUUGGAGCGGCCGAGGGCAGAUUAGCUAGUUGGUGGGGUAAAGGCUUACCACGGCGACUAUCUGUAGCUGGUCUGAGAGGACGACCAGCCACACUGGGACUGAGACACGGCCCAGACUCCUACGGGAGGCAGCAGUGGGGAAUUUUGGACAAUGGGCGAAAGCCUGAUCCAGCAAUGCCGCGUGUGUGAUGAAGGCCUUCGGGUUGUAAAGCACUUUUGGCGGGAACGAAAAGGACUGUGCCAAUACCACGGUUCGAUGACGGUACCCGCAGAAUAAGCACCGGCUAACUACGUG
rnacentral:rRNA from 1 species